AUUGAACGCUGGCGGCAGGCCUAACACAUGCAAGUCGAGCGGCAGCGGGAAAGUAGCUUGCUACUUUUGCCGGCGAGCGGCGGACGGGUGAGUAAUGCCUGGGAAAUUGCCCAGUCGAGGGGGAUAACAGUUGGAAACGACUGCUAAUACCGCAUACGCCCUACGGGGGAAAGCAGGGGACCUUCGGGCCUUGCGCGAUUGGAUAUGCCCAGGUGGGAUUAGCUAGUUGGUGAGGUAAUGGCUCACGAAGGCGACGAUCCCUAGCUGGUCUGGGAGGAUGAACAACCACACUGAGACUGCGACACGGUCCAGACUCCUACGGGAGGCAGCAGUGGGGAAUAUUGCACAAUGGGGGAAACCCUGAUGCAGCCAUGCCGCGCGUGUGAAGAAGGCCUUCGGGUUGUAAAGCACUUUCAGCGAGGAGGAAAGGUUGAUGCCUAAUACGUAUCAACUGUGACGUUACUCGCAGAAGAAGCACCGGCUAACUCCGUGCCAGCCGCCGCCGUAA
rnacentral:rRNA from 1 species